rnacentral:misc_RNA from 1 species
GAUAAGAACGUAGCGAAAUGCGAUAAGUAAUGUGAAUUGCAGAAUCCAGUGAAUCAUCGAAUCUUUGAACGCACAUUGCGCCCGCCAGCAUUCUGGCGGGCAUGCCUGUUCGAGCGUCAUUUCAACCCUCGACCUCCCCUUGGGGAGGUCGGCGUUGGGGACCGGCAGCACACCGCCGGCCCUGAAAUGGAGUGGCGGCCCGUCUGCGGCGACCUCUGCGUAGUAAUACAGCUCGCACCGGAACCCCGACGCGGCCACGCCGUAAAACACCCAACUUCUGAACGUUGACCUCGAAUCAGGUAGGACUACCCGCUGAACUUAAGCAUAUCAAUAAGCGGAGGA